rnacentral:rRNA from 1 species
AACGAACGCUGGCGGCAUGCCUAACACAUGCAAGUCGAACGAGACCUUCGGGUCUAGUGGCGCACGGGUGCGUAACGCGUGGGAAUCUGCCCUUGGGUGCGGAAUAACAGUUAGAAAUGACUGCUAAUACCGCAUAAUGACUCCGGUCCAAAGAUUUAUCGCCCAAGGAUGAGCCCGCGCCGGAUUAGCUAGUUGGUGAGGUAAAAGCUCACCAAGGCGACGAUCCGUAGCUGGUCUGAGAGGAUGAUCAGCCACACUGGGACUGAGACACGGCCCAGACUCCUACGGGAGGCAGCAGUGGGGAAUAUUGGACAAUGGGCGAAAGCCUGAUCCAGCAAUGCCGCGUGAGUGAUGAAGGCCUUAGGGUUGUAAAGCUCUUUUACCCGGGAUGAUAAUGACAGUACCGGGAGAAUAAGCCCCGGCUAACUCCGUGCCAGCCGCCGCCGUAAAAC